AGGACGUAGAGCUCAGGUGGUAAUGUGAGGGAUGGGGAAUGGCUGUAAAUACAAAUGAAACUUUGCUUGCUCACCUGUCACUCCCUGCUUUGCAGCCCAGUUCCUAACAGGCCAUGGAAUGGUACUGGUCCAUCUGAUUCCACUUAUCUGAGGUACUUAAAGGAGUCAAAAUUACAGGGACAAGAGAGUAGAAUUGCGUUUGCCAGGGGCUGGUGGGGUGGGGGAUCUGGGGAGUUACUGCUUAAUGGGUAUAGUUUCAGUUUUACAAGAUAAAGAGAAUUCUGGAGAUAGAUGCUGGUGAUGGUUGCACAACAUUUAUGAAUGUACAGUAUUUAAUACCAUGGAACCGUAUACUACAAAAUGGUUUUUAUGUUAUGUGUAUUUUAACACAAUAAAAAAAAUAAUGGAGGAAGUACUUAAUACCUUUGAUCAUCAAGGGAAUGAAAAUUAAAUCUACGGUGGAUUUCAUUUCACAAACAUUCCCAGGUGCUGAAAUAAAGUCUAGUAGCCCAAACAUUAACAAAGAUGUGAAACAGCUGGAACUUACACAGUGCUGAUGUGAGUGUAAAAUAUUUUGGAAAAGUACUUUGCAAUUUCUUUUUCAUUGUACUUUCCUCUACCUUAUUCAUGGCUCAUCAAUUUCACUUAGUUACCCAAGAGACAUGAAAAUGCAAGUUCACAAGAAAACUUAGACAAAGAAUGUUUAGAGCAACCUUAUUCAUAAUAACCAAAAACUAAUAACCUAAAUGUCUAUCAACAGGAAAACAGAUACAAUUUAAAAAUGAUACAUAUUCUUACAAUGGAAUACAACUCAGCAAUAAAAAGGAACAAACUGCUGGUAUACCUGACAACAUGAAUAAUACCGUCUACUACUUAUUACUCCACAGUACCUCCGCAUUUGAAGAUUGUCUUCCUGAGAAUAUAUCCAUGUGACUUGAUGGAAACUUGGAAAGCACCUUGAUCACAAAAGUAAUAUAUUCAAAGCCAAGUCCAAGGGCUAAAGUGGGAUACAAAAUGAGAAGUCUGGGGAGAUAAGCCUUGGGAGCUGAGAUCCUGCAUUGAAAACAAGAUGAACUAACUUCCCAGGCUGCAUAAGUGUUCACAUUUUUUAUUGAAUUGUUUCAGCAGAUUUGUUUCUUCUUUUGACCUCAAAAGUCAUUUGGAAACCUUAGGGAAACUUCAUGGCAUCUUUUCCGUUUUGCUUAUGGUUGUCAGGAGGGAUAGCAUCAGACCUUAACAGAGGUGGCUUCACCUUGCCUAGAGUAUCAAUAAUCUUAUCACAGAUUCACCCCUGUUCUUUCUCGUUUAGACUCUGAGGGUCCCACUUCAUUGUCAAUUUCAUUUGCAAUCACAGGUUUAGCAUAACAGCUAACCUUAUUUUUAGCUGAUGAUCUGGAACCCUUCACCUGACUUACAGGCAAACUCUUGUGUAUUUUUUGUUAGAAAAUCUUCAUAUCACCAUUAGCAAAUGCUUUACUAGUUUGUUUACUGGCCAUUAGCUGCUUCUCAAUAGUCCAGCUUGGGAGAUAUUUUCUUGGCAUUUUUGUUUUGCAUCUUGAGUUCUCAAGGUGAAUCAUUGCUAUUUUUAAUGGAUGCUGGAGGCAUUUUGUCAAAGGAUUCCUUUUGGUUCCUUCAUCUUCGUCAUCUGCUUCAUCUUCAUAAGUAUUAUUUCCUGGUAUUUCUGUAACUUUAGAAGCAUUUGCAUCUGUAUUGUCUUCUUCAUGGUUUCCUCAACUCUAUUUUUCAUUUCUAGUCCUUCCAGCAGGUUCUCUGUUGAACCUCUCAUGUUCUGGGAGUAGCUUUUCUAUGAUUCCUCUGGACCUCACUUCUUGAGGGAAAACUUAAACAAAGGGGGUCAUUGGGAUAAACCAUACUCCCUGUCACUCAGUUGGUUUCAAGGAUACAACUACUACUUAUCUUCCUCUUCCAUACCAAUUUCAAGUUCUCCUCUCCUUCAGCAGUUACUUCCACAGAUCUUAGUGGUAUAACCUGGAUGUGACCCAAAUCCUUAUUCCUGAUGAGAAAUAUAUAUUUAUUGGCAAUUACACAUACCUCAUGUGAUUGUUGUACAUGUCCUUCCACAGUUACAAGUAAGUCUCAAAAGACUCCCAAGUGGAUCACCUAGGGGCCACAUAUUUUUCUCUGCCCAUUACAUAAAAGUAGCCCUUCUUCUUCCUCUUGAUCUAGGUCAGUUACCCCUGCCAAGAUGGGGAUUCCUCUUCCUGCCUGCUGGUACCUUGAUACAAAGAGUCCAAAAUGCCAAAACAGUUGUCAUAGCUUGUAGUUCAAUGGGACCUUCCUUGUAUUUCCUGGCAAAAAUUCACCCCACUUUGGGGACCAGGACUUCUAAACCUUCAAAACCCAGAGUUUCAGGAAUAGAAAGCACAAAGUUCCCCAAUGAGUCAUUUGGGUGGAUGGUAAGUGGGGCCACUUCUGCUUCCUCUGCCUUUUUCCUGGACCCAUGUAUUCCUCCUAUUAGGGACAGUGCCUUUAGAGCUCCCUGAUUUAGUAUAUAUACUGAUCUUGAAAAGUGGCACUCUGUUCUUGCAGAAUAUUGCCUCCAAAUCGGUACUCCGGCUGCACCUUCAGUAGGCUGCCCAGUGCUGUCCCAGGCUGGUUGCUCCAGAUGGUGCAGUACGUGAUAAAACCAGUAGAUCCCUUAGUCAUUAGUUCAUACUCAUAACACCUUUACUAUGAAAUGGAUCCCCUGUUUGGACCCUAUGUUGAGUUGGAUACUAUACCUGUGAAUCAGGCCUUCUUUAAGCCUCUAGAUAGUGGUAUGGGCUGUGGCUCUGAAGCCAAGACAGGCAAACUCAUACCCAGAAUACAUAUGUAUCCCUAAAAGGAUGAACUGCUGGCCACUCCAGAAUGGAAAGGGCACAGUGUUGUUGACUUGCCACCAAGUGGCUGGUUUAUCUUCUCAAGUAAUAGGGCCAUAUCAGGGACUCGGGGUUGGUCUCUGUUGCUGGCAAAUUAGACCUUCAGAGACAAAUAGCUAUAUUGGCCUUGGUAAGUGGGAAUUCGUACUCUUGGGCGCAUGUGUAGCCUUCGUCUCUGCACUCACAGUAGGCAGCCUCACAUGUUGCCUACAUGUGAACCAACGCAGUAUUCCUAGGUAUGGAAUUCGUUGCUUCCAGAACCUAAAGGCCCACCAGGCUUUGGGCUUCAUUAUAGUAGGAGAUGCAAGAUGCAGAAAUUUGUCUUUUAUUCUGGAGGGCAUGUCUCCACAGACCACUGACUACUGGACCUUGAAAAAACUUUACUGAAGUCACAAAUUCUUGAAUCUUCUUUGAGUGUAUCUCCCACUGUCUGGAUACAUGUCUUACCAAGACCUCUAGUAUACAAGUCACAUCUUGCUCAUCAUGCUCAGUCCGAAUAUUGUUGAUUUAACAUAUCAAUGUGAUGUUAUACACUGUAUGUCCAGACAGUCCAGAUCUCUUCUGACUGUAUUACAAUAGAGGGUAGAAAAGUUAACAUGGCCCUUGGACAAAGCUGGAAAUAAAUAUUGUCUCCUCCA